UAUUCCCUGUCUAACCGAAGGCUUGCGUCCCAACGUGAGCUACUUACGUAGGUGAAACGGGGUUAG
rnacentral:sRNA from 18 species